GAUGAACGCUGGCGGCGUGCCUAACACAUGCAAGUCGAGCGGGAUUUUCCGGAUUGAAGCUUCGGUAGAUUGAAGGAAAUGAGAGCGGCGGACGGGUGAGUAACGCGUAGGCAACCUGCCCUUUGCAGAGGGAUAGCCAUUGGAAACGAUGAUUAAAACCUCAUAAUACCACCUGGUGACAUCACCGGAUGGUCAAAGAUUUAUCGGCAAAGGAUGGGCCUGCGUCUGAUUAGCUAGUUGGUGAGGUAACGGCUCACCAAGGCGACGAUCAGUAGCCGACCUGAGAGGGUGAUCGGCCACAUUGGAACUGAGACACGGUCCAAACUCCUACGGGAGGCAGCAGUGGGGAAUAUUGCACAAUGGGCGAAAGCCUGAUGCAGCAACGCCGCGUGAGCGAUGAAGGCCUUGGGUCGUAAGACUCUGUCCUCAAGGAAGAUAAUGACGGUACUUGAGGAGGAA
rnacentral:rRNA from 1 species